CAGCCGUAAACAAUGUGCGUUAGGUGUGUCGGUAACCACGCGUUACUGAUGCGCCGAAGAGAAAUCGUGAAACGCACCACCUGGGAAGUACGGCCGCAAGGCUGAAACUUAAAGGAAUUGGCGGGGGAGCACCACAACAGGUGGAGCCUGCGGUUUGAUUGGAUUCAACGCCGGACAUCUCACCGGAUAAGACAGCUGAAUGAUUGUCAAUCUGAAGGUUUUACAUGACUAGCUGAGAGGUGGUGCAUGGCGUCAGUGACU
rnacentral:rRNA from 1 species